rnacentral:rRNA from 1 species
UACGGGGGGGGCAAGCGUUGUUCGGAAUUACUGGGCGUAAAGGGCUCGUAGGCGGCCAACUAAGUCAGACGUGAAAUCCCUCGGCUUAACCGGGGAACUGCGUCUGAUACUGGAUGGCUUGAGUUUGGGAGAGGGAUGCGGAAUUCCAGGUGUAGCGGUGAAAUGCGUAGAUAUCUGGAGGAACACCGGUGGCGAAGGCGGCGCUCUGGAACAUUUCUGACGCUGAGGCUCGAAAGCGUGGGGAGCAAACAGGG